CUGAAUGCCUAAUGUGUAUGCAAUUGAAAAGCAUAUGCUAACUGUUGUAUUCUCAAUAAAUGUGGCGUGCUGCCUUCUCCCCUAUAAAGAUCCCAUGUACUUCUUAUAAGU